rnacentral:rRNA from 1 species
UGAUUAAGCCAUGCGAGUCGAGAGGGUUCGGCCCUCGGCGUACUGCUCAGUAACACGUGGAUAACCUGCCCUAAGGAAGGGGAUAAUCCCGGGAAACUGGGGAUAAUACCCUAUAGAUUACAGAUGCUGGAAUGCCCUGUAAUCAAAAGUUCCGACGCCUUAGGAUGGAUCUGCGGCCGAUUAGGUUGUUGUUGGGGUAAUGGCCCAACAAGCCAGUAAUCGGUACGGGUUGUGGGAGCAAGAGCCCGGAGUUGGAUUCUGAGACACGAAUCCAGGCCCUACGGGGCGCAGCAGGCGCGAAAACUUUACAAUGCGGGCAACCGUGAUAAGGGAACCUCGAGUGCCUGUAUACGCAGGCUGUCCAGGUGCCUAAAACACACCUGAAGAAAGGGCCGGGCAAGACCGGUGCCAGCCGCCGCGGUAAUACCGGCGGCUCGAGUGGUGGCCGCUUUUAUUGGGCUUAAAGCGUUCGUAGCUGGUUUGUUAAGUCUCUUGGGAAGUCUGGCGGCUCAACCGUCAGGCGUCUAAGGGAUACUGGCAAUCUUGGAACCGGGAGAGGUGAGGGGUACUUCGGGGGUAGGAGUGAAAUCCUGUAAUCCUCGAGGGACCACCUGUGGCGAAGGCGCCUCACCAGAACGGCUUCGACAGUGAGGGACGAAAGCUGGGGGAGCAAACCGGAUUAGAUACCCGGGUAGUCCCAGCCGUAAACGAUGUGCGUUAGGUGUAUCGACGACCACGAGUCGUCGAGGUGCCGAAGGGAAACCGUGAAACGUACCGCCUGGGAAGUACGGUCGCAAGGCUGAAACUUAAAGGAAUUGGCGGGGGAGCA